AUUCUUUGUAGUUCAUAAGCCUGAUGAUUGGGUUUUCAUGUGCAUAUGUGAGAUGUGCCUCCCUCAAACCUUGUUACAAUGUUGGCACACUUCCCAUCUGAUG